GCGAUCCCAGGUCAGGCGGGGCUACCCGCUGAGUUUAAGCAUAUCAAUAAGCGGAGGAAAAGAAACUAACGAGGAUUCCCUUAGUAGCGGCGAGCGAACCGGGAGGAGCCCAGCAUGAAAAUCGUUCGCCGUCGGCGAUCGAAUUGUAGUCUGGAGAAGCGUCCUCAGUGACGGACCGGACCCAAGUUCGCUGGAAGGCGGCGCCGGAGAGGGUGAGAGCCCCGUCGUGCCCGGAGGG
rnacentral:rRNA from 1 species